rnacentral:rRNA from 1 species
UACGUAGGGGGCAAGCGUUGUCCGGAAUCAUUGGGCGUAAAGCGCGUGUAGGCGGCCCGGUAAGUCCGCUGUGAAAGUCGGGGGGCUCAACCCUCGAAUGCCGGUGGAUACUGUCGGGCUAGAGUGCGGAAGAGGCGAGUGGAAUUCCUGGUGUAGCGGUGAAAUGCGCAGAUAUCAGGAGGAACACCAAUUGCGAAGGCAGCUCGCUGGGACGUGACUGACGCUGAGACGCGAAAGCGUGGGGAGCAAACAGG